UGGGGAAUAUUGGGCAAUGGACGAAAGUCUGACCCAGCGACGCCGCGUGAGGGAAGAAGGUCUUCGGAUUGUAAACCUCUGUUGUAAGGGAAGAAGAAAGUGACGGUACCUUACGAGGAAGCCACGGCUAACUACGUGCCAGCAGCCGCGGUAAUACGUAGGUGGCAAGCGUUAUCCGGAAUUACUGGGUGUAAAGGGUGUGUAGGCGGGACAGCAAGUCAGAUGUGAAAACUAUGGGCUCAACCCAUAGCCUGCAUUUGAAACUGUAGUUCUUGAGUAUCGGAGAGGUGAGUGGAAUUCCCAGUGUAGCGGUGAAAUGCGUAGAUAUUGGGAGGAACACCAGUGGCGAAGGCGACUCACUGGACGAUUACUGACGCUGAGACACGAAAGCGUGGGGAGCAAACAGG
rnacentral:rRNA from 2 species